GGGGAUUUAGCUCAGUGGCAUAAGCGCCUGCCUUUAAGGCAGGCAGUCGUGAGUUCAAUCCCCG
rnacentral:tRNA from 1 species